GGAUUCCCUUAGUAGCGGCGAGCGAAGAGGGAGAAGCCCAGCACUAAGCCCAUUAAUCUUUGAACCGAUUAACUGGGGAUGCAGUGUAUGGAGAGUUCAUUAGCUCAUUGCAAUAGAUAAGCAAAUUCAAGUCCAUCUUGAAUGGGGCUACUUAUCCCAUAGAGGGUGCCAGGCCCGUAGCAAUUGCUAUCUGCAGUUUGCGAACUUCUCCUAAGAGUCGUGUUGCUUGAUAGUGCAGCACUAAGUGGGUGGUAAACUCCAUCUAAGGCUAAAUAUAACCACGAGACCGAUAGAGAACAAGUACCGUGAGGGAAAGUUGAAAAGAACUCUGAAUAGAGAGUUAAAAAGUACGUGAAACCGUAUAGGGGUUAAGCCCGUUGAAUCUAAAUAUCCGAUAGAUGAAAUUCAAUACCGUUGGCUGUCGGCAUCUUUUUGCUCGAUGGUCAUACAGUAUGCACUUUUCAUCUAGUAGGACACUGCAAUCCGUUAGGUUAAAUAUGGCAGCAAUGUCAUAUUUGAAUUUAUCUCUGGAAUUCGCCUAGAUUGUUUAUCUGAUAUAGUACUAAUACUACUAUUCGGUAAAUCUAAUUGAGUUCUGAUAAUGUUCGACUGACGGAUUGAAAACAAUCAUAUAACAUGCAUAUGUAAUU
rnacentral:rRNA from 1 species